GAUGAACGCUAGCGGCAGGCUUAGCACAUGCAAGUCGAGGGGUAUAGGUUUUCGGACCUAGAGACCGGCGCACGGGUGCGUAACGCGUAUGCAAUCUACCUUUUGCAGAGGGAUAGCCCAGAGAAAUUUGGAUUAAUACCUCAUAGUAUAACACAAUCGCAUGAUUGAGUUAUUAAAGUCACAACGGCAAAAGAUGAGCAUGCGUCCCAUUAGCUAGAUGGUAAGGUAACGGCUUACCAUGGCUACGAUGAAUAGGGGUCCUGAGAGGGAGAUCCCCCACACUGGUACUGAGACACGGACCAGACUCCUACGGGAGGCAGCAGUGAGGAAUAUUGGUCAAUGGACGCAAGUCUGAACCAGCCAUGCCGCGUGCAGGAUGACGGUCCUAUGGAUUGUAAACUGCUUUUGUACAGGAAGAAACACUCCUUCGUGAAGGAACUUGACGGUACUGUAAGAACAAGGAUCGGCUAACUCCGUGCCAGCCGCCGCGGUAA
rnacentral:rRNA from 1 species